AUUGAACGCUGGCGGCAGGCCUAACACAUGCAAGUCGAGCGAGCGGCGGACGGGUUAGUAAGGUAUGGGCACUGCCCGAUAGAGGGGGAUAAGUACUGGAAACGGUGGCUAAUAACUCAUACUAUCGGAUAGCCCAUAUGGGAUUAGCUAGUAGGUGGGGUAAAGGCUCACCUAGGCGACGAUGUCUAGCUGGUCUGAGAGGAUGACCGCCCACACGGGGACGGGGACACGGCCAAGACUCCUGCGUAGGCAGCAGUGGGGAACAGGGGGCAGUGGGCGCGAGCCUGAUGCAGCGCUGCAGCGUGUAUGAAAGAGGCCUUCGGGUUGUAAAGUACUUUCAGCGGGUAGGCGGUACCCGCAGAAGAAGCACCGGCUAACUACGUGCCAGCAGCCGCGGUAAUUC
rnacentral:rRNA from 1 species